rnacentral:rRNA from 1 species
UACGUAGGGGGCAAGCGUUGUCCGGAAUCAUUGGGCGUAAAGAGCGUGUAGGCGGCCAGAUAAGUCCGCUGUGAAAACUCGAGGCUCAACUUCGAGCUGUCGGCGGAAACUAUCUGGCUAGAGUCCGGAAGAGGAGAGUGGAAUUCCUGGUGUAGCGGUGAAAUGCGCAGAUAUCAGGAAGAACACCCGUGGCGAAGGCGGCUCUCUGGGACGGUACUGACGCUGAGACGCGAAAGCGUGGGGAGCGAAACAGG